rnacentral:piRNA from 1 species
UGGUUCACAGGAUUCACAUCCAAAGGCUGA